CCUACGGGAGGCAGCAGUGAGGAAUAUUGGUCAAUGGACGAGAGUCUGAACCAGCCAAGUAGCGUGAAGGAUGACUGCCCUAUGGGUUGUAAACUUCUUUUAUAUGGGAAUAAAAUGUUCCACGUGUGGGAUUUUUUAUUUAUCAUAUGAAUAAGGAUCGUCUAACUCCGUGCCAGCAGCCGCGGUAAUACGGAGGAUCCGAUGGUUAUCCGGAUUGAUUGGGUUUAAAGGGAGCGUAGGUGUAUUGUGAAGUCAGUGGUGAAAGUUUUCGGCUCAACCGUAAAAUUGCAGUUGAAACUGGAGGUCUUGAGUACAGUAGAGGUGGGCGGAAUUCGUGGUGUAGCGGUAAAAUGCUUAGAUAUCACGAAGAACUCC
rnacentral:rRNA from 1 species